CGACACGGAGCCACGUCCCCAGCUCCGUUCCCUCUCACCCCCCUCCCCUCACCGCACACAGCGCAUGCGCCAUUUCCAUGUGCAGCAUCUGGAACAGCAGCGAGUCAUCCAUGGCCACAGUCGCGACUUCCGGGAUUGGACACCACGUGACUGAUCAUGUGACCUGGACUCCGUCCGCGCCGUUCCUGUUCCGCCUCCGCGAGAGCGCGUGGCUGAAGCCCAAGGAUGGCAGCGCCCCAGUACAAAGCAGUGGUUCAAGGGGAAGCAUCUGAGACUGAUUCAGAUGAAGAAGUUUAUCUGUCGUCCGUUCCUCAGGCCUCCUUCCCCAGCCUCUCUGGUGUGAAAGUCCUCGGGGAAGCGUCUGAGACAGAUGAUGAAGACGAAGGGAGCCCAAGUGGGCACAAAGUCAAGUCUAAGCUAGUUGACCUGGACCUGCCUCCCCUGAUUGUCAUCAGGAAGGAGGAGCCAAGGUCUCCUAUGGGAAUAGAAGAGAAACCUGCCCUUCGUAUCCAGCACGAGGGGCGCUACAGCACCUUGCUGCAGCAGAAGCUGAUUGAGAGCAAUGCCCGCUUGUACUACGAUGUCAGCAGCACCAUCAAGCAGGUGUAUCAAAUGGCCACCAAGGAACUCGGCACCAUCACUGCACAGCUUAGCAACUCACAGAGCGCCAUCAUCAAUGCUUCGCACAGUAUCCGCCUCAUUCUGGAUGACUUGCAAGCUGUGGCUGACAAGAUGGACAUCGUCACCAGCUGCAACCUGCUGCCUGAUAUCCAGAUGGAGCUGCCUCCUGCAUAACCUAUCCCUUCUCUUGGAACUAGGGGACCUGAGCUACUCUGUUCUGUUGGCAGCUUGGAGUGCUGGGCUGGUUGGUUACUGAUGGGCACUGGCUUGUCAAAAUGAGGGGAUGUGGAAUAUCAAAUGGAGCUGCUUUAGCCCUGAAGGGUCUUUGUAGUUUUGAUGAUGACAAUACUACCCAGCUAGUCCCAAGCGAAUUAAUGACCAAGAUCUCAGGGAACACUGCUCCCAACAUGCACAAAGGUCUCAUGCAACUGCUGCUUAAUAGAACUGCUGUUAACAUUAUCAUGUGGCUGGAGCUAAUCCCAAGAAAUAAGUGCAGUGGAUGCACUGUAAGGUCUGUGCUUUAGGGUAACACUUUCAGAGUUGUAUGUCCAGCACGUGUCUGAAGGCCAAGGACAGUGCCUGUCCUGUAGCUGAUGAGGGGUCACACAGGGCGGUGUCCUUGGCCUUCUCGUCUUUUCCCUCUACACCGUUUCUUUGUCAUCUCCUCCACUCACCUGGCUUCAAUGACCAUCUUUACACUGAUGACUCAGCCCUACUUGUCCAGUCCUACAUCACCAUCUGUCUCUGUAUCCUCCUUGGUCAUGCCUUCCUUUAGCAUAGUGGUGAGUAUCCCUGCCUGUUAUGCGGGAGACAGGGUUCGAUUUCCUGACAGAGAGGCUUCACUUGAUUAUGUGACGUGGUAGCCUGCAAUACCAGAGGACUGGACAUGAUGACCCAGGAGGUGCCUUACAGUCCUGUGUAUCUUCCUCCUGGAUGUCUUGCUGCUAUCCUAGGCCUAGAUCCCCAGUGGUAUUCAGACUCCUUAACUUCUGUUGAUUGCAAUGGAAAUUAGGACCCUAAAUACCUUUGAGGAUUUGGGCCCUAGCAACCAAAGUCUCCUCUUUCCCUUUGUCUGUCACUGUUCAGAACACCACCAUCAGGCCUGCUACCUGGGUGUCAUAUGUAACUUUUCCCACACCUCACACACCAGGUAGUGACUAAAUCAUGCUGCAGCUUCCUCUGUAACAGCUUGACUUUAAUCUCUGUCCAUCCUAUUCACUCUCUCCUCUGGGCCCUCACCAUCUCCUAACUUGGCUCCUAUAAUCCCCUCCAUGGCAUCCCUGAAACCCACAUUGUUCUCCUGGCCGUUCAUUCAUCGAUUAUAAGGCAAGAUGUGACCAUUAUGAUCAUCUAGUCUGGCCUGUAUCAUGCAGGUCAGAGAACUGCAUCCACUGAUUUCUGCAUCCAGACCACAAACCUUAAUCUUAGCAGCGGAGUUUUGAAUGAUUAGUUCCUUGUAUUAGUGUAGUGUGAUGCCUAGGUGCCUUAGUCAUCCUGGCCUAUUACUUUAACCAUCUCGAACCCGCUUGAAUCCCUCUGCUGGCUCUCACCACUUUUCUGCAUGAGAUUCAAGCUUCUUGUGCUCACCUUUAGCCCCCCACUUAGUCCUUGCCUGUUCCUCUGCUUUUGUAACUUACUGAUUUUGCUCCCCGUCUCCCCAGGAGUCUCAGCCUCAAAUCUCCUUCCCCUUCUGUUCACUUCGCCUACAAGCACCUUUGCCCUAUCUUCCACACCACUCCUUAUGCAGGGAACACUUUCCCUUAACUAGUCUGUUUAAAAACAACCCCCGCCCCAGCUUGUCCUUUAGAUCCCUUCUUAAGAUUCCCUUUUCUUCUGCCUACAUAAGAGCUAAUUGGCUUAGUAAAGGGAGCCCUUGCACUCAGCUUGGCUGCAGUGUGAUAACUUUUGAAGACGGCCUCCAGUUCACUCUGGAAUUUCAGAGAAUGUUCUAAGUAUCAGUGGCAGAAUCCAGUUGAUUUUGAUGAAAAUCAGAAAACUGGAAAAGCCUGAUUUCUGCCGAUCUAAACGGUUUGAUUCUGUAGGCUCUGGACACAUGGGUGAGGCAGUUACUUCCCCCAGGCUUGUGACAGGGGAGCAUCACUCAAUACAGGGAUGAGGCAGUGACAUCAAGGUGAGGUUAGAUUUAGGGAACCAUAGGGAUUCCUUUGCUUGCAGCACCAAAUGAGCACACUGUGGGCCUGGUUUUAGUGGAAAUCAAGCUGCCAGAAGCCUCUUGCCCCUGCAGUCUGGCCAGCACCCCACCCAGCAGACCCUUGCCCCCAACUCUAGCCAGCUGCACCCCCGACUUCAGUUGACACCUUUGCACUGGGGAGAUGAGUUUCUGGGGCCAAGGGGCCCAGCUGGGUGUACACGUCUGCCUAUGUAAGUAACAAGGUGUGACCCUCCAGUGAUUAUUGCAGUUAAUGUCUCACCAGGGUUAAGUAGGUGGCAAGUACUG